rnacentral:rRNA from 1 species
AACGAACGCUGGCGGCAUGCCUAACACAUGCAAGUCGAACGAGACCUUCGGGUCUAGUGGCGCACGGGUGCGUAACGCGUGGGAACCUGCCCUUAGGUUCGGAAUAACUCCCCGAAAGGGGUGCUAAUACCGGAUAAUGUCUUCGGACCAAAGAUUUAUCGCCUUUGGAUGGGCCCGCGUUGGAUUAGCUAGUUGGUAGGGUAAAAGCCUACCAAGGCGACGAUCCAUAGCUGGUCUGAGAGGAUGAUCAGCCACACUGGGACUGAGACCCGGCCCAGACGGGGGGGGGAGGCGGGGGGGGGGAAUAUAGGAAAGUGGGCGAAGUUCAGAGACGCCAAGGCGGGGAGGAGGGUGAUCGGGUUGGGGUGGUAAAUCUUUUUUGCAGGGGAGAAAAAUGACGGUACGGGAAGAAGAAGCCCCGGCUAACUCCGUG